UGUUAAAUUUUUAUUUCUGUACAUUCAUUCAUGCUUUAGUAAGUCGCUGAUGAGUACCUGCUGUACCAAGACACUCAUCUGUAUAGAGAUAAGGAACAGUGAGUUAAACAGAUGUUGAAUAACUUGCCCAUUGCUUGGAAGUGGUGAAUGGCAUUUAAAUCCAGGAAGUCUGGCUCCAGAGCCCUCUUGGUUAACCACCCCAUUAUAAAUAGGCUUACAAAAAACUUCCAACUUUAGUCCCCACCAAUAUUCAUGAGGCUUUAUUGGAUAUCUGUUACCUGUGUAUUUUUACACCUUUCAAUAG